CACGUAGGCGGAUAUUUAAGUUAGAGGUGAAAUCCCAGGGCUCAACCCUGGAACUGCCUUUAAUACUGGGUAUCUCGAGUCCGAGAGAGGUGAGUGGAAUUCCGAGUGUAGAGGUGAAAUUCGUAGAUAUUCGGAGGAACACCAGUGGCGAAGGCGGCUCACUGGCUCGGUACUGACGCUGAGGUGCGAAAGCGUGGGAGCAAACA
rnacentral:rRNA from 1 species